rnacentral:lncRNA from 1 species
AACUUUUUUUAAAUCUUUGGAAAAGCUAAUAAACACAUAGACAACUAAAAAAUAUAUGAAAAUGAGGCAUUUAUUAUAUCUAGAGGAAAAAAAGAUUGUUCAAGAAGGGAAAUAUAAGCAGACAACACUAUUUGUCUCAGCAACAAGGAGUAAUCAUAAAUUGUGAUAAAGCUAUGUUGGAGCACAUGGUAGGAAAAGUGGGAAGUAAGUAAGCACGGUAUAAUAAGAAUAGUCCUUGUAUUCUAUAGUAGGAAAUCAAAUAGAUAAUGUCUAAUAUUGAAAAAUCAAGAAAUAGCAGCGUAUUGUCUUGUUUGGAAAUAUGGAGGUAAAUUAGCAGAAGACAUAGUUGAAAGAAUUGAACAUGGUUGCCUCUGAGAAGUAGAGCUGAGAUGUGAGGGAAGGGGCAAUAAACAGCUAUUUCUUGUUAUAUGCCUUCUAUUCCAUUAUACUAUGUAAACUAAGGGUGUGUGUUGCCAUAAUAAAAAACAAAACUUUAUUUUAAAAUGAAAGAAAAUAUUGUCUUCAUACAUAUACUUAAAGAUACUCACAUACAGAAAAAUCAUACAGACCACAUUUACUGACCGUCCCGCAAUAAAAUAGAAAACAAAAAAGGUAGCGCUCAUUUCUCUUGAACAAAACAAACACAACAAAACGCCCUUCCAAAUAAAGUUUGAGUUAAGAAGAAAAUAAAACUAAAGUUACAGACUGUUUAGAAACAACAAUGACAGGGAUACAUAUAUCUCAAAAUCUAAUGGGUGUGGUCAAAAUGGCAGAAGAGGAAAAGGUAUAGCCUUUUGUGAAUCUAUUUCAAAACAAGAAGUUUAGAAAUUAAUGAAUAAUACAGUAAAUAUAAAUGAAAUCUAAGAAAGAAAUAAUACAUUAGAAAACAAGCAAAAGGCAAAGUACUUGAGCCAGAAGUCAAAAGCUGAUACAAGACUAAUAAAGCAAACCUUUGGUAAGUCUGAUUAGGAUGAACAAAGAGAUAGUGUCAGGAUGGGUGACUCUCCAAAUGAUUAAGCUAAGUGAAUUAUGGUCAUCUCAGUCCCCUUUCUCGUGAUGGUUUUAAGAAUGAGCAUGUGACCCAGUCGUGACCAAUAUGAUAUGAUGGGAAGAUGGUUGCAGAACUUCUGAGAAAAUGUUCCUCAUUGUCAAAAAGAGACACAAGGCCAGGCACAGUGGCUCACGCCUAUAAUCCCAGCACUUUGGGAGGCCGAGGCAGGUGGAUCACCUGAGGUCAGGAGUUUGAGACCAGCCUGGCUGGUCUCUACUAAAAAAUACAAAAAUUAUCUGGGUGUGGUGGCGCAUGCCUUAAUCCCAGCUAUUCAGGAGGCUGAGGCAGGAAAAUUGCUUGAACCCAGAAGGCAGAGAUUGCAGUAAAUGGAAAUUGCGCCACUGCAACUCUGUCUCAAAAAAAAAAAAAAAAAAAAAAAAGGCUACACAUAAAAGGAAUAGUUAGUCCCUUUCUUUCUAUAGUGGUCUGGGUAUGAUGCUGCUUAGAACCGUUAUAAUCAUCUUGCUGCUAGCUCAAGGGCAGUGCUCACAGAAUUGUAGAAAAGUGGACCAAGAGUUCUGAUGUGCUAGAAACUGUCUGUCUCUGGACUUUUUGUUAUGUGAGAUAAUACAUUUCCUUAAUGUUUAAGCCAAUUUGAAUCACGAUUUCCUGUUAUUUCCAACUGAAGUCAUCCUAACUGAUAAAAGAAAGAAAACCCAAAACCUAGGAAUGAGAGGAGGGACAUAAACACAAACACACAACUUAUUACCAAAAAAUAGGGGAAAAGUGCGAUGUACCACUGCAUACCAAUAAAAUGGAUGAUUCCUAGGAAAGCAAAAGUUUUCAAAAUUGACUCCCGAGAGAGAGAAAAUCAUAACCAGACCAAAAAUGACAGAAAGAAAAGUCUGUCAAAGAUCUGUCACAAAAAAAUGUGCCAAGCUCAUAUGAUAUUAUAGGAAAAUUCUGUAAGUCUGAAUGAAUGAAGAGUUGUAACUUAGGAAGCCUCAAUAUGACACAGAUGUCAAACCUUACCCAAAUAAUCUAUAAAUGCAAUGCAAUUCUACCAAUAUCAUAAUAGUGUUAUGGAAUUCUUAAGUACAUCUGGAAGAGAAGCAGCACAUUAGUAGCCAAGAAAACCUUGAAACAAAAGAAUGAGAGAAAACUUGACCUUCUAUAUAUCAAAGUACACUAUAAAGUUGCAAUAACUAAAAAUGUGGUAUUGAUGCAGAAAUAGACAAAUAGAACAAUGUAAUAGAAGAGAGGCUAAAAAUAGACCUAUGAGUGGGAAUUUAGGUGAUAAAUUAGGAUUUCAAAUUAUUAAACUGUUCAACAAAUGAUAUUGGAACAACUGACUUUCAUAUGGAAAAAUUAUAUUAGGUUCUCACCUUACACCAAGUCCAAAAAUAAGUUCCAAAUAUAGUAAAGAUCUAUUUAAAGCAUUUAAGAGUUUUAGAUAAAUAUAAUAUUAUUUCAUUCGUUAACUCAUUCAAUAAAUAGUGAUUGCAUUGUUCUAGUCUCUGGAAUACACCAGUGAAUAAUACAAACAUCCUGCCCAGAGUGAGCUUACAUUUUAGAACUUGUAAGUAAAUAUUUAAGCAAAAAAAUGCAUGAUUACAUACAGUGAUAGAUACCAUGAAGGAAAUAAGAGCAGAGGAAUAGCAGUAGGGGAAGUGCAGUCAGGGAUGUCCUUCCUGAAGAGGAUAUUUGAAAGAACUCAUCAAACUCUACCGAGCAUGCUCAAACAAAGUGCUUAUUUAAAAGUAUAGCAAGAGAAAGAAAGUCUAGGCAAUUACUGGGAGUCCAAGAGAUUCCAUGUGCAAGCUCCCUAGCAUCCUUAUAGUUACCGUAACUUAUUUACGCUUUUUGUCUGGAUUAAACCACCGGGAUCCAUACAAGGAAUCUUGGCUAUGGGAGAGCUCAAAGCAGAAGUUCCUAGAGGGAUUUUUAUGCCCCCUCUGGCUACGUAAUCAUGCCAACUAUCUAAAUGGCUUAUUGAAAAACUAUCAGUAAAGAAACUGACCCUGGGGAUCAGGAGUCAAGUUUCAGACUUUAGGUAGCAUGUCAGGGCCAGGCACCGUGGCUCACACCUGUAAUCCCACCACUUUGGGAGGCUAAGUGGGGAGGAUCGCCUGAGGCUCACAGUUUGAGAUCAGCCUAGACAACAUAGCAAAACCCCGUCUCUACAAACUAUUUUUUUUUUUUUUGAGACCGAGUCUCUCUCUGUUCCCCAGGCUGGAGUGCAAUGGCAUGAUCUCGGCUCACUGCAACCUUCGCCUCCCAGGUUCAAGCAAUUCUCGUGCCUCAGCUUCCCAAGUAGCUGGGACUAAACAGUCAUGAGCCACCACACCCAGCUAAUUUUUGUAUUUUCAGCAGAGAUGGAGCUUCACCGUUUUAGCCAGGCUGGUCUUGAACUCCUGACCUCAGGUGAUCCACCCACCUUUGCCUCCCAAAGUGCUGGGAUUACAGGCAUGAGCCACCGCGCCCAGCCAAAAAGUUCUUUUUUUUUUUUUUUUUUUUGAGACGGAGUCUCUGUCGCCCAGGCUGGAGUGCAGUGGUGCAAUCUUGGCUCACUACAAGCUCUGCCUCCCGGGUUCACGCCUUCUCCUGCCUCAGCCUCCCGAGUAGCUGGGAUACAGGCACCCGCCACCAAGCCCAGCUAAUUUUUUUUUUUUUGUAUUUUUUU